AUCUGCCUAGCUACAUAUUACUUGUCUAUCUAUCUAUCUAUCUAUCUAUCUAUCUAUCUAUCUAUCUAUCAGUGUGUCUGUCUAUUGAUCUGUCUAGCUACAUAUUACUUGUCUAUCUAUCUAUCUAUCUAUCUAUCUAUCUAUCUAGGCUAGCUAGCUAACUAGCUACCUACUUACUCGUCUAUCUGUCCACCCAUCUAUCUAUCUAUCUAUCUAUCUAUCUAUCUAUCUAUCUAUCAGUGUGUAUGUCUAUUGAUCUGUCUAGCUACAUACUUACUUGUCUAUCUAUCUAUCUAUCUAUCUAUCUAUCUAUCUAUCUAUCUAUCUAUCUAUCUAUCUAUCUAUCUAUCUGUCUAUUAGUGUGUCUGUUUAUUGAUCUGUCUAGCUACAUAUUACUUGUCUAUCUAUCUAUCUAUCUAUCUAUCUAUCUAUCUAUCUAGGCUAGCUAGCUAACUAGCUAACUAGCUACCUACUUACUCGUCUAUCUGUCCACCCGUCUGUCUAUCUAUCUAUCUAUCUAUCUAUCUAUCUAUCUAUCUAUCAGUGUGUAUGUCUAUUGAUCUGUCUAGCUACAUACUUACUUGUCUAUCUAUCUAUCUAUCUAUCUAUCUAUCUAUCUAUCUAUCUAUCUAUCUAUCUAUCAGUCUAACUAGCUACCUACUUACUCGUCUAUCUGUCCACCCGUCUGUCUAUCUAUCUAUCUAUCUAUCUAUCUAUCUAUCAGUGUGUAUGUCUAUUGAUCUGUCUAGCUACAUACUUACUUGUCUAUCUAUCUAUCUAUCUAUCUAUCUAUCUAUCUAUCAGUGUGUAUGUCUAUUGAUCUGUCUAGCUACAUACUUACUUGUCUAUCUAUCUAUCUAUCUAUCUAUCUAUCUAUCUAUCUAUCUAUCAGUGUGUAUGUCUAUUGAUCUGUCUAGCUACAUACUUACUUGUCUAUCUAUCUAUCUAUCUAUCUAUCUAUCUAUCUAUCAGUGUGUCUGUCUAUUGAUCUGUCUAGCUACAUAUUACUUGUCUAUCUAUCUAUCUAUCUAUCUAUCUAUCUAUCUAGGCUAGCUAGCUAACUAGCUACCUACUUACUCGUCUAUCUGUCCACCCGUCUGUCUAUCUAUCUAUCUAUCUAUCUAUCUAUCUAUCUAUAUAUAUAUCUAUCUAUCUAUCAGUGUGUAUGUCUAUUGAUCUGUCUAGCUACAUACUUACGUGUCUAUCUAUCUAUCUAUCUAUCUAUCUAUUAGUGUGUCUGUUUAUUGAUCUGUCUAGCUACAUACUUUCUUGUCUGUCUAUCUACCUAUCUAUCUAUCUAUCUAGGCUAGCUAGCUAGCUAACUAGCUACCUACUUACUCGUCUAUCUGUUCACCCGUCUAUCUAUCUAUCUAUCUAUCUAUCUAUCUAU
ensembl:lncRNA